UUCUGCUUUUCUGUGUCCAUAUGUUAAUGAGGUGGAUGGUUCUAACAUUUGUCUUCAGCACCAUUGGUUAACUGAGAGAAUCAGACAGAAGCAAACGAUUUCUGCAUGGAUUCAUUCUCCUGUUCACCCUGUCGUCCACGGGGUGGCAGUGAAGCUCAUUUUUUGUUGGUUGCUGCCAAAGUUUACGGCGAAACUAAAGCAACAGCAGAAGAAUGGCUUUGAGCGGGACUCCACUGGCAGAGCUCUUGAAUGUGGCUGAGCAGCUAGAAAACGCACCAAGUGUGGUGAACUCUGUAAUUUCACCCCCACCACAGAUACCAACACACCCAGUGGAUGGUCCACUGAGGUUGUAAGACUGUUUGGCCCCGAUGCUCGUGGGAGAGGACCAGCAAGGAGGAGAUCUAUCAUUGUGUCUCCACAGCUGCACUCAAACACGCACAGGUUUAGCUGUCUGGAGGACAAACAUAUGGAGUUAGUCUCUAAUCGGUCUGUGAAGCAGCAGGGUUGGGGAAAAGCGUCUCACCUUUCAAGGAAGUCAUACAAGUCCAGAAGAGUUUAAAGCCUUCAUAUUAUCCUCAUUCCCAAAACUCAGAGACGGUGGUGGAUUUGAGCUCCUUCAGAUAGCUGCAGUACUCGGAGUCGGCAGCAGCUGAUGGUGAUCCAUGUCCAAACCAUGGCUACACUGUUCAAUAUUUAAACAAUCCCCAAAGUCAGAUCGGGGAUGCUACCAUUUUCAUCAGGCCACUCCAGAGGAACCUUAAUCCCAAUCCUGUAAAUUCGUCACUUUAUCUCAAACAGAGAGCAACACUGAACUACUUGGGCCAUUGGAGAAAUGUGUGCUCUGUGGGGAGGAGGUCCCUUUUUCCACCAUAAAAAAUCACAGCGAUGAAUGCACAAGACUGUUGCAGAGCAGUGAUGAGGUACGAAUGGCGGUAACCGAAGAAGAUUCCCACCCACAGGACGUCAGACAGCAAGGCCCAUCAACACUAGAGAUACCUCAGGGACCUGCUGCUGCUCCAGAGAUUGUUGAUCUAGUUUCCAUUGAAGA